UACGUAGGGUGCGAGCGUUAAUCGGAAUUACUGGGCGUAAAGCGUGCGUAGGUGGUUCGUUAAGUCUGAUGUGAAAGCCCUGGGCUCAACCUGGGAGUGGCAUUGGAUACUGGCGACCUAGAGUGCGGUAGAGGGGUGUGGAAUUCCCGGUGUAGCAGUGAAAUGCGUAGAUAUCGGGAGGAACAUCUGUGGCGAAGGCGACACCCUGGACCAGCACUGACACUGAGGCACGAAAGCGUGGGGAGCAAACAGG
rnacentral:rRNA from 1 species